UAGGGAAUCUUCGGCAAUGGACGAAAGUCUGACCGAGCAACGCCGCGUGAGUGAAGAAGGUUUUCGGAUCGUAAAACUCUGUUGUUAGAGAAGAACAAGGACGUUAGUAACUGAACGUCCCCUGACGGUAUCUAACCAGAAAGCCACGGCUAACUACGUGCCAGCAGCCGCGGUAAUACGUAGGUGGCAAGCGUUGUCCGGAUUUAUUGGGCGUAAAGCGAGCGCAGGCGGUUUCUUAAGUCUGAUGUGAAAGCCCCCGGCUCAACCGGGGAGGGUCAUUGGAAACUGGGAGACUUGAGUGCAGAAGAGGAGAGUGGAAUUCCAUGUGUAGCGAUGAAAUGCGUAGAUAUAUGGAGGGACACCAGUGGCGAAGGCGGCUCUCUGGUCUGUAACUGACGCUGAGGCUCGAAAGCGUGGGGAGCAAACAGG
rnacentral:rRNA from 1 species